rnacentral:rRNA from 1 species
UUAAAGAAAGCGUAAUAGCUCACUGGUCGAGUCGGCCUGCGCGGAAGAUGUAACGGGGCUAAACCAUGCACCGAAGCUGCGGCAGCGACACUAUGUGUUGUUGGGUAGGGGAGCGUUCUGUAAGCCGUUGAAGGUGGCCUGUGAGGGUUGCUGGAGGUAUCAGAAGUGCGAAUGCUGACAUAAGUAACGAUAAAGCGGGUGAAAAGCCCGCUCGCCGGAAGACCAAGGGUUCCUGUCCAACGUUAAUCGGGGCAGGGUGAGUCGACCCCUAAGGCGAGGCCGAA